AUAAAACAAAUUUUGAAGGAAAAUGGUUAAAAGAAAUCUUAGUUUGAUGAAUUUUUCACCUAAGAUAAAGAAAUCUUAGUCUGUUGAAUUUUUCACCUAAGAUAAAAAUCUUAGUCUGAUGAAUCUUUCACCUAAGAUAAAGGCAAAAGUUGGAAAAAUGAAAGGAAGGCAUUAUUUGGGAAAAGAUGAAGGCAGAAUUUGAGGAGAAAGAAAGGAAGGCAUAAUUUAAAGAAGGGGAAGGCAGAAGUCGAAAAAAAAAGGAAGGCAUAAUUUGGGAACAAGAAAGGAAGGCAGAAUUUGAAAAGAAAGGAAGUUGGAAUUUGGAAAAUUAAGAAAGUCGGGAUCACGCAAAAACGGACCUAGUCUGAUGAAUUAUCUCCUAGAGUCACAAUCUUAGUCUGUUGAAUCUUUCUCCUAAGAUGAAAAUCGUAGUCUGAUGAAUUUUUCACCUAAGAUAAAGAUAAAAAUCUUAGUCUGUUG
rnacentral:lncRNA from 1 species